rnacentral:misc_RNA from 1 species
AACCAAAUUAAAGGAAACAGAUUUGAAACGAAGAUUCAUAUUCAGUUUGGCUGAUUUGACCAUAUCUAUUAAAUUAUACUUCCUCUUUUAAAAAAAUAAUAAGGGUAAGAUUUCAAAAUUGAGCUGUCAUUUUGAUUUGGACUUACCUCUUAUCAAAUACUGAGUAGACACUUUUGAAAUAAAUUCUAUAUUGUCUUCCUCAAUACUUCAUGUGUACAUUUUAAGUGUAGAAAUAAUAUUUAUAGCCCCAAAUCAUGAUGCAAUUGUUUAUAAAAGAAGACAGGAGUUCGGUAAUCUCAGUUUAAAGGAAAUUUCCAAUUGUCUUGAUAAAUGUGAAAUAAUUUGAUUAGGACUUCAUACUUAGUUGACAAUAUUUUUGAAGCAUUUAUAAAAAAAAAUUGAAAUAUUUUGUCUUUAUGACCAGUUCAUUUAAAACUCGUCGUACAUUUAUGUAUUCCUUAUGAUGAUGAGAAAUUUAAUGUGUUAUGUUAUUACAGGAGUGGAAGUUAAAUAAUCCGAUAGAAAUGUGUUCAGUAUAAGGUGUUCAAAUGUUUAUUAACAGUUUGUUUUUACUUAGUACUUUCCUCCAUUUUAUCAAGACUUUUUAACAUUUUUCACAAACUAUAAUCACAGUUCUUUUCACUUUGAAACCAAGAUAUACAUUGUAAAGAGAUAAGUUGGACAAAUGGCGACGUGUCAUCAACAUCAACACAUGUUUUAAAAUAUGAAAUAUGCAUGUGUGACUAGUGCUACUCCACUUGUGAUCCGCCUUGACCCGUUUUACGUGUAUUUACAAUAAAAAGAACGAAUGUU